rnacentral:rRNA from 1 species
AACCUGCCCUUGACUCUGGGAUAAGCACUGGAAACGGUGUCUAAUACCGGAUACGAACUUCAGCCGCAUGGCUAGGAGUUGGAAAGAAUUUCGGUCAAGGAUGGACUCGCGGCCUAUCAGCUAGUUGGUGAGGUAAUGGCCCACCGAGGCGACGACGGGUAGCCGGCCUGAGAGGGUGACCGGCCACACUGGGACUGAGACACGGCCCAGACUCCUACGGGAGGCAGCAGUGGGGAAUAUUGCACAAUGGGCGCAAGCCUGAUGCAGCAACGCCGCGUGAGG